CCUACGGGUGGCUGCAGUGAGGAAUAUUGGUCAAUGGGCGCGAGCCUGAACCAGCCAAGUCGCGUGAGGGAUGACGGUCCUACGGAUUGUAAACCUCUUUUGCCGGGGAGCAAGCGUGCGUUCGUGACCGCGCGUCGAGAGUACCCGGAGAAAAAGCAUCGGCUAACUCCGUGCCAGCAGCCGCGGUAAUACGGAGGAUGCGAGCGUUAUCCGGAUUUAUUGGGUUUAAAGGUGGCGUGGGGGGGAUGCCAAGUCAGCGGUAAAAAUGCGGGGCUCAACGCCUUCGCGCCGUUGAAACCGCGUUUCUUGAGUGGGCGAGAAGUACGCGGAAUGCGUGGUGUAGCGGUGAAAUGCAUAGAUAUCACGCAGAACUCCGAUUGCGAAGGCAGCAUACCGGCGCCCUACUGACGCUGAGGCACGAAAGCGUGGGUAUCGAACAGGAUUAGAUACCCUUGUAGUC
rnacentral:rRNA from 1 species